UAAAAAUUUUAGAUCUGAAAAUUGUGAAAUAUUUGAGCACCAAAAUAGCACCAAAUGAAAAAAGUUUGAACUACAAAGUUAUAAAUCUUGUCGAUGAUUUUUUUGAAAGUGUAGGAGGAGGAAGUUAUCGCUGGUUUAACUAGCGAUAGCUUGGAUUUGCAAUUUUUGUUUAGCCAUAUAUUUUUGCAAAAUACUAAAAUAAAAAAAUUUCCGCGCUGUGCCAUGCGAAGGGCCCCACGUCCUCCUAAUCCGGCACACGGCACAACUACUCUCACGAUCUCAACUCUCAACCCGCCUGCCAUGCUCCCCGCCGCUCUCCUCCCCUCGCCGGCGGGCCGCCUCCUCGCCCCCGCCCCUCUCCGCUGCCACUCUCCCACCCAGCAAUCCUCCACCGCCGCGGCCCGCGGCCUCAUCCUCCGCGGCGCGGGCUCCCCUGUCGUCAAGCGCGUCCCGGACGGCGGCGGGUGGCUCCUCUGGCACCAGUCCGGCGCGCGCGUCGCGCUCGCCACCUCCCCGGACGGGCUCCGCUGGAGCGCCCCCGUGUCCCCCGACCCGCUGCUACCCUCCGAGGACUGGUGGGCGUUCGACACCGCCGCCGCCCGCCCCUCCGACGUCCUCCUCAUCUCCGGCCCCGCCGCGUCCUCGCGCCGCUUCCCGUCCUCCGCCGUGUACUGGCUCUACUACACGGGCUCCACCGACGGGCGGUUCGGCUCCGCGUUCCCCGAAGCGGACGUCCCCGCGCUGCCGGGGCUCGCCAUCAGCCAGGACGGCCGCAACUGGGCGCGCAUCGAGGGGGACCACCACACCGGCGCGCUUCUCGGCGUCGGGGAGGAGGGGGAGGAACCCCGUGGGUGGGAGGCGCGCUGCAUUGCCGCGCCCAAGGUGGUCAUGCACGCCGACGGGGACCUGCGGAUGUACUACCAUUCGUUCGACGAAAUGUCGCGGAGGCACGCGAUAGGUCUGGCGAGGUCCAGGGACGGCAUCCGGUGGACGAAGAUAGGGAAGGUGCUUGAGGGUGGCCGUGCUGGAUCCUUUGAUGAAUGCGGGGUGCGGCAUGGACAUGUCGUCCGUGACCGUGCUGCCGGGCGGUAUGUGAUGGUGUAUGAUGGUGUUGAUGCGGAUGGGAAAGUGAGCAUUGGAAUGGCUGUGUCGGAGGACGGGCUUAAAGGGUGGAGGCGGUCCAGUGAGAUGCCAGUGCUGUGCCCAUCUGAGGAGGGCGAAGGGUGGGAUGGUGCUGGGGUUGGUUCACCGUACUUGGUGCAAAUGGAUGGGGCCUAUGACUGGAGGCUGUAUUACAUGGGUGUUGGGAGGAAUGGCGAGGCUUCGAUCGGGAUGGCGUAUUCAGAGGGUCAGGCUCUUCAGAAAUUCGAGAAGUGUGAUGCUGUCCUCAUGUAAGGGAUCCAACCAAGCUUUUGAACAAAGUGGUACAGUCUUCCUCUGGCACAAGAGGUUGAUCUGUUUUGAGAGGCCAUGUGCAGAGGGAAGGACCUCUACUGUGGUCUCAAUAAUGCAAUGUUGCAUAGUUAUUUCAACGGGGCCAUGGUUGUCCUUUCUUCCUUCGUUGUGAGUAAAUGGCAGACAGCAGUCUGACAAGAACAGACAGUGCACUUCAUCUUGGCAGAAAGAAGUCAGAGAAGAUACCUAUGGCGUUGCAGCAAAAGGAUCACUAGUGCUCUGAACACUUCAGAGGAUGUCUACUGUAACAAUCUGGGGCUGACUAAUUUCAUUGGUACUCACCUGUUACCAAGAAGAGCAUGAAGCUGGAUGAUGGUCUGCUCUUCCUGCAAGCUGAACUUGCCCCUCUUGAUGUCUGGCCUCAGAUGGUGGGAAUUCAGCUUGGUCGUCACUCACCUGCCUUUGCAGGCAACGCUCGCCAGCUCCCAUGCCCAUGCUCCUCAAUGUAGGCAAGCAGCUUCUGAUCCUCCUCCGGCGUCCAUGGACCUUUCUUCAGGCCAAUCUUCUCACAGCAUGGUGAUCGCCCCAUUGAAGCAGUGUGGAGUGUUAUCUUUCUGAAGUCAAGCUUCUGAGUGCAGAGGGAUUGGAGGAUAAAUAGAGCAGGAUGAGAAGAAGACAAGGCACACUGCUACUGCUAUAAAUCAUUAGCAUGAUAGGAGGUAUGAGCACUGAAUUUUCCAUGCCUUAUCAUGACAUAAAUGCCCUUGUGUUGGUUUGCUUCAGUUUGGCUACGAGGUACAGGUAGACGUACAGCUCCUUGUUGAUCUACUGAACGUAAAAAUACAGUAACAAACAAAUGCCUUCGUUUGAGGGUCAGUUUAACACUCAGGUCCAGUUCGCUAUGGCCCAUGAAUUAAAAAUCGCAAUAACUCCAUGGGUGAUCAGGCCCCACAGGUGACACCGCGUCCAGGUUGGUGUUGGGGUAAGGCUAAGAAAUGAUUCAUUUUAUUGGGGUGAGAUGGGUCAAGGUUAUGGUCUGUUGCUUGAUUGAGAGGAGCCUUAAAGUCAUUUGGACUUAGGCUUGGAUUUUUCAGUAAAUAUAACGGUAAAGGUCAGUUAUUUGAUCUAGUGGAGAGGUAAUAUAUGGCAACCCCUUGAUAUGCUUCGGUUUAGAGUCUGAUGUGACCAAUACGAUGAUUACCUUUUAGUGCCUAAGAAUGAUUCAGAAUGAGGAUUUCAUCAUGGCAAGUCUCUGUCACUAUGCAGUUCUGGUGAGCAGCUAUAAUUGGAGUCGAAGUAUUUUUAGCUAUGCAAUUAGUUCUGGUGCAGCUUUAGUUAGAGUGGAAAACGUUUUCAGUAAUCCCAUUUUGCCUACAUGAUAUAUGAUUGCCAUCUUGGUUUAAGACUGAGGUGAAAGGACGAAAUAAUUUGCCCUCGAAAAAAGGACAAAAUAAUCAAGCCUAGAGUAGGGAACAACUUCAGAACUGUUGAUGCCUAGCGGGUACCAAAGUCAUUGUUUCUGUGAGAUGCAUGAGGCCGGUCAUUGAAGUGCCACUUUUCAGAAGAAAAGGAAAAAGGAAUGAAUGUGGUUGCAGCCUUUCCCAAUGAACUGUGCUAAUGAUACUCUUUGCAGGUAGUUUUCAACUGAUCAGUAAAAAAGGAGGAGCUUUUUUCCAAAGUUCUAAACACCAGCACCAACAAAAUCCAUAAAUUAAUUAUGCUACAGUAAUUAAAACAGCAGAGAAUUUGGAAUUACUUAUUUGGUUGUUCCUAUCCAAUGUCAAACCAAAGAGUAUUUGGUGGUACGACUAACUAAACUUAGCUCUCAUUACCUUAUGUUGAUAUUUUAGGGCUGUAAGUGAGAUGGGUUAAUGCUUUCAGGCUGAUGUGGGUGUUUUGGUUUGUCGUCAAUGUUUGACCUCCUUGUGUGCUCCACAUCUAACAUAUCAAUUUUCUAAUUCUCCAAUAUGUCUUCCAAAAGUUCCAGAGGAGUCGGAUUUGAUUGGUAGAUGGAAGGAACAUAACAAAGAUCCAAUCUAAGAGAAGUGAACGCCCAAACUGUACCUGUUACCAUCCAUUAAAAGGUUCCAAAAGAUUGUUUGUUUGCCAAGGAAAACGUGGGAGGCUAUGGAAGAAGCAGGAAUAAACUAACCGGCAGAUAUCUCAAAAGUCAAACUCAGAGUAGUGGCUGAUAAUGUUCAUGAGUGCUUACUGUGAACAUGCACGGCCUCUUAAUUGCACCAAAUGGCUUGUCUCCUCCAAUUACCUUUUCUUGAGGUACGUCUUGUGCAACUCAGACAGCACUUUUAAGGCACUCAUAUAACUCUAGGCCUGUAUUGAAAGCGGUCCAAACUACACAAGCUGUCCAGCAUCCCCAAUGAUGAACUGAAAGUUAACCUACAGCUUCAGGCUCACUCCAUUAACAGUGCAACAAAUAUGUUUGAGCUCUCCAUGGUUUGGAGGAGCAUGAUGGUAGGUGAGAAUAUGUGUUACUGCCAUAGUUGGAUGAACAACCGUAGGCAACCAAAAUGUGUGAUUUAUUUAUCCAUAGUCAAAAGUACUUUCUUGAUGAUUGAUUGGUCAACUUAAAUGUAUGCAUUUCCUUGACUCUUUUGUGAUCAUGCAUGCAAAAAUGCCUGCACCUGCUAGUUGCAUUUCCUGAUUGCUCACUAGCUAGCUAGUAAAACCUUUCAAUAUCUUUGAUUUGGUCCUUUGGUGAGCAGAACUAAUUCUUUUCUUGUACUCACUUGCACCUUUCAGUGAUCUAAGCCCUCGUGUGAGUAUACAAUUCAUUUUCUUAUUCUCCCUAUAUUAGGCAUACAAUAACCUUUCUUGAGUCUUCUGUAGGAAUUCAAGGCAGCAAAGGUUGGAGUCAAAUGCUCAUAUAGAGAGAGAUUUAAUAAAACCUGCACGCAGUGAUGUCAAUUUAACCACCGUACUGUUGUCAGGUACAAUCAAUCUGACCUAACUGGAAUUUUGGAUCUUGACAUUAGGCAUGACUCAUUAAGCAACGUCGGCUUGAAGAUUAGUCCCAUCAUUUGCCUAAAUUAUUCCUAAACUCUGUUAGCAACACGAGGUUUAAGAACCAUUGUAUAGUGUAAGAACAUUUAAGUACUCCAUAGCUAUUGAUUGUUGCGCCAUUUCACACAUGAUAAACCAAUGUUAGCAAAAGGUAGUUCUUUCGUGGAAGCUUCAGACAUUGGCUUAGUUUCUUUGCGUAAUUUGUCACGUACUCUUCUGAAACACGACAGCAAGAAGACAUCAGUGUUUGCUAUCAUUUUGGCAAUGGAAGAUGAAAGGCAUAAAACAGGAAAGCAAGAUAUUCACAUGAGCAUGUAAGAAGCAGUGAUUUGCUGAGACUAGAGGAUAACGAGAUUGGACCGAGUCAUGGAAUGCCAAAUAAGCAUGUGACGCUAAUCAGAUCUCUUCUUCAUGACCCCACGGUUCAUGGAUCCUGAUUGUCGACGAGAUUACCAGUAACUAAUCCAAUUAUUGUAACUUGAUUUGUCUCCUGCUGAAGUGAUGCAAGCUCGCAA